CACACCUGCUGGCUUGAUCACAUUGGCCUACGAGAUUAUGGUCGAAAUCACGGUGUUUGAUAGUUGAUGGCAAGGUUCUUGUCUUGGUCAAUCCAUGUUUCUAACCAACACGAAGGAACUAAUGAUUUAAUUGAUUGCGUUGAGCCAUUCAGCUUUCUGCUAUGUUACCGACGAUGGAGGGAGUCUUAUGGAAAGUUUCCGGUGUUGUGCUUGGUACUGAAGUGCAGGGGACUUGAUGCAUUAGCUAGCUGCUAUGAGUAUCGGAGCUAGGUGCACGAAGGCUAAAUAGAUAAAUUUCGGCGUUGAUAGUUUUAAGGUAAAUAGAAAAUGCAGCAGAAGUUGAUAUGCAAUGUGUAAUGUAAGAGUAGUUUCUUGAGUCUUGGCAAAGACGAAUGUCAUUGUAUUCGUUAUCGACAACGCUAAAAGAUUUUUGUACUCUUUA